UCUGCUGCCAGACAGACUAGAAUGACCAGAAAUGGGGGAGAAAUGAAAAAGACAAUACAAAAAAAAGAGAGAGUGAUAGGAAUGAAAUUGUUAGGUGCCAAGAAUUCAGGAAGGCUGCAUUCCAACAGCUGCUAUGCUUACUGCCGCUGGUUAGAAGGAAAAUAAAAUCAGCUGAGUAAUGAAACGGACAUACGCUGUGGAUACCCAAGUCUGGAUAAAGGGAGUGCGCCGAAGAGGAAGGUGCCAGAGGCUUCAGCAGACAAAGCAACCGCUGCAGCUGCACACAGAUGGCUGCGUGCUGAAAUAUUUUGGAGCCGGUGGUUUCAUCAUAAAGACAAAUUCUAAGGUAAACUGGGUGGCCCUGCCUAAAAAGGGAAUUCACUAGAGAAUACAGAGUAUAGUUCAUGUCUCAUUCUAUCUGCGGCCAUAAAGAAAUUUACAGCCUACACUUCAGGUCAGUAUUGCUGAAUGAGCUGUAUUACUAGGCAAUGCAUACAUACAGGGGGCGGUGGUAUUAGGGUAUUAUAAUAACUAAAAGGAACAUGAAAUACUUUGAGAUUGUAAUAAAAAAUGAUGAAAUUUUGUGCAAUAAAACUAACCACUUUAAUUGUU